rnacentral:rRNA from 1 species
CCCCUAGAUGUUCUGGGCCGCACGCGCGCUACACUGAACAGUUCAACAAGUCUUAACCUUGGCCGAUAGGUCUGGGUAAUCUUUGAACGCUGUUCGUGACUGGGAUAGACCUUUGCAAUUAUGGGUCUUCAACGAGGAAUUCCUAGUAAACGCAAGUCAUCAGCUUGCAUUGAUUACGUCCCUGCCCUUUGUACACACCGCCCGUCGCACCUACCGAUUGAAUGGUCCGGUGAAAUCUCGGGACGGCGGCUUGGUCGCUUGCGUCCGACUGCUGAAACUUGAUUAAACCAUAUCAUUUAGAGGAAGGUGAANUCGUANCA